rnacentral:rRNA from 1 species
UACGGGGGGAGCAAGCGUUGUUCGGAUUUACUGGGCGUAAAGGGCGCGUAGGCGGUAGCACAAGUCAGUUGUGAAAUCUCCGGGCUUAACUCGGAAAGGUCAACUGAUACUGUGCGACUAGAGUGCAGAAGGGGCAACUGGAAUUCUCGGUGUAGCGGUGAAAUGCGUAGAUAUCGAGAGGAACACCUGCGGCGAAGGCGGGUUGCUGGGCUGACACUGACGCUGAGGAGCGAAAGCGUGGGUAGCAAACAGG